rnacentral:rRNA from 1 species
ACGGGUGAGUAACAGGUGGAUAAUCUGCCCUUCGGCGGGGGAUAACGGUUGGAAACGGCCGCUAAUACCGCGUACGGUUGCGAGGCCUCCGGGCUUUGCAAAGAAAGGCGCUUCGGCGUCGCCGAGGGAUGAGUCUGCCUCCCAUUAGCUAGUUGGUGAGAUAAAAAGCUCACCAAGGCAACGAUGGGUAGCCGAGCUGAGAGGUUGAUCGGCCACACUGGAACUGAGACACGGUCCAG